rnacentral:rRNA from 1 species
AGUGAACGCUGGCGGUAGGCCUAACACAUGCAAGUCGAACGGCAGCACAGUAAGAGCUUGCUCUUACGGGUGGCGAGUGGCGGACGGGUGAGGAAUACAUCGGAAUCUACUUUUUCGUGGGGGAUAACGUAGGGAAACUUACGCUAAUACCGCAUACGAUCUACCGGGGAAAGCAGGGGAUCUUCGGACCUUGCGCGAUUGAAUGAGCCGGUGUCGGAUUAGCUAGUUGGGGGGGUAAAGGCCCACCAAGGCGAGGAUUCGUUGCCGGACGGAGAGGCAGGUAGGCCACACGGGAACUGAGACACGGUCCAGACUCCUACGGGAGGCAGCAGUGGGGAAUAUUGGACAAUGGGCGCAAGCCUGAUCCAGCCAUACCGCGUGGGUGACGAAGGCCUUCGGGUUGUAAAGCCCUUUUGUUGGGAAAGAAAAGCAGCAGGUUAAUACCCCGCUGUUCUGACGGUACCCAAAGAAUAAGCACCGGCUAACUUCGUG